AGAGUUUGAUCCUGGCUCAGAACGAACGCUGGCGGCAGGCCUAACACAUGCAAGUCGAACGCCGUAGCAAUACGGAGUGGCAGACGGGUGAGUAACGCGUGGGAACAUACCCCUCGGUUCGGAAUAACUCAGGGAAACUUGAGCUAAUACCGGAUACGUCCGAGGUUUUAAUCGACCUUGGAGAAAGAUUUAUCGCCGGAGGAUUGGCCCGCGUCUGAUUAGCUUGUUGGUGAGGUAAUGGCUCACCAAGGCGACGAUCAGUAGCUGGUCUGAGAGGAUGAUCAGCCACAUUGGGACUGAGACACGGCCAAACUCCUACGGGAGGCAGCAGUGGGGAAUAUUGGACAAUGGGCGAAAGCCUGAUCCAGCCAUGCCGCGUGAGUGAUGAAGGCCUUAGGGUUGUAAAGCUCUUUUACCCGGGAAGAUAAUGACGGUACCGGGAGAAUAAGCCCCGGCUAACUUCGUGCCAGCAGCCGCGGUAAUACGAAGGGGGCUAGCGUUGUUCGGAAUUACUGGGCGUAAAGCGCACGUAGGCGGAUCUUUAAGUCAGGGGUGAAAUCCCGAGGCUCAACCUCGGAACUGCCUUUGAUACUGGGGAUAUCGAGUCCGGGAGAGGUGAGUGGAACUGCGAGUGUAAGGUGAAAAUUCGAGA
rnacentral:rRNA from 1 species